rnacentral:rRNA from 1 species
CAUUUAAAGAAAGCGUAAUAGCUCACUGGUCGAGUCGGCCUGCGCGGAAGAUGUAACGGGGCUAAACCAUGCACCGAAGCUGCGGCAGCGAACGUAUCACUUAAAGCGAUUCAGCGGGUUACGAUUGACGGAGCGAAGCGACGUCAAAGCGUAUACAAAGUCGAGUCGGUUUAAGGAUACGUUCGUUGGGUAGGGGAGCGUUCUGUAAGCCUGCGAAGGUGGCCUGUGAGGGUUGCUGGAGGUAUCAGAAGUGCGAAUGCUGACAUAAGUAACGAUAAAGCGGGUGAAAAGCCCGCUCGCCGGAA